rnacentral:pre_miRNA from 1 species
AUGUUAACGCAUGAUAUGUUAACAUCAGUUUUCCAAAAAAUCGAUGUUAACUUGUAUGCAUUAACAU